rnacentral:rRNA from 1 species
ACAUUUCUUAACUCCAAAGCAUUUAGAGUUGCAUUGAGACAACUAGCAAUUAGAGAAGAUUGGUCCUUUAACACACAAUAUAGUGACACUAGGAGAUUCAGGGCUAAAUGCACCGAUGAGGAUUGUCCAUGGAGGAUACAUGCCUCCAAGUUACCGAACACUAACACUUUCAUGGUAAAGAAACUUCCCUUCGAACAUACUUGUGGGAGCAAAAAUUGCAGCAAAGGAAUGGCAAAUAGAGAUUGGCUUGCUGAAAAAGGGAAGGCUGCACUUGAAGAGAAUGCCACGGUGAGUGCAAAACAGCUUAGAGAACGUUUACAAAGGGAGUAUGAUAUUAAGCUUCAAUACACCGAUGUUUGGAAAGGGAGAGCUCGUGCAAAGGAUUAA